CACAACAAAAUCCAGUGACUCCGAUGGCCGGCGAGCGUGCACACUGGCAUGGGAAGGAAAGGGGAGAAGAGAGGAAGGAGGAGGAGGCUCACCUUCGAUGUCGGUGAGGCUUUUCGAUGAGAAAUUGGACGGACACAGGUCAGGUCUCCACGAUGAUUUUCCGACGAUUGCCGCCGACUGGGCUUAGGAUCUUUGGUGAGAGGG
rnacentral:lncRNA from 1 species